GUAGCCUAGAUCUCAACCUCACAGCUGUAAAUGAGGAGCGGCCAACGUCAGCGGUCCGUCUCUUGAAUCGCCAAGCUACCAGAAUGCAUUGCAUGGCUGCUUACAUAGACAAUGGAGGCUGUGGACACUGAGAUGUGACGGUGGAGCACCUCUCCAGAGGGAUCUUCAGGACUCGGUUGUUGAGUCCUACGAAGAGCGAGCGGUCGCUGUGGAGGAUCUGCAGGCUCAGGAUGGGUUCUCUCACCCCGGCUGGGAGGAGCUCCAUCUCUUCCAGAGGGUGUCCAUGCCCUGGACGAUGUCCACCACCAGGUUGGAGAAGCGGACGUCGUCCUGCAUGACCAGCGGGUCGACGGACUCCGGCUGGACCACGUCAUUCAUCAGGUAGAGCCGCUGGGCGUCCUGCAGGCUGCGCUCCGUCAGACCCUCGUUGGGACCUUCGUCAUCGAUGGUACCACACUGGAGAGGAGAGGAAGAAGGGCUGGAGGACGCUGCUGGAGCCGUUACUACACGUCUUAAACCAGAACUCUACUCGCUGAUGUUCAUCAUCUCUUUUUACUCUACAUGAUCUGUCAUAUUAUGUCUUUAUUAUUCCCUAUUUUGCAAUUCUUACAUUUCUCUAUAAUACUUUAUUUUCUGCUAUUUUUUAAAAAUGUUAUUUAUAUGAUUGUAUUUUUCUCUCCAAAAGCACUUCGGUCAACAUUUGUUUUUAAUGUGCUCAAUAAAUAAACUGACUAAAUUAA